AUUGAACGCUGGCGGCAGGCCUAACACAUGCAAGUCGAGCGGAUGAAGGGAGCUUGCUCCUGGAUUCAGCGGCGGACGGGUGAGUAAUGCCUAGGAAUCUGCCUGGUAGUGGGGGAUAACGUCCGGAAACGGGCGCUAAUACCGCAUACGUCCUGAGGGAGAAAGUGGGGGAUCUUCGGACCUCACGCUAUCAGAUGAGCCCAGGUCGGAUUAGCUAGUUGGUGGGGUAAAGGCCUACCAAGGCGACGAUCCGUAACUGGUCUGAGAGGAUGAUCAGUCACACUGGAACUGAGACACGGUCCAGACUCCUACGGGAGGCAGCAGUGGGGAAUAUUGGACAAAGGGCGAAAGCCUGAUCCAGCCAUGCCGCGUGUGUGAAGAAGGUCUUCGGAUUGUAAAGCACUUUAAGUUGGGAGGAAGGGCAGUAAGUUAAUACCUUGCUGUUUUGACGUUACCAACAGAAUAAGCACCGGCUAACUUCGUG
rnacentral:rRNA from 1 species